UUGGCUUUUGAACCGGCUUUGCUUUGCGAAGUAGGGUGGCGGCUUCGGCUGUCGAGGGGUCGAUCCAUUUUGGGAAACUUUGUGUGUGCGGCUUCGUGCUGCGCGCAUCUCAA
rnacentral:rRNA from 1 species